AUUGAACGCUGGCGGCAGGCCUAACACAUGCAAGUCGAGCGGAGCGGCGGUCGGGUGAGUAAUGCCUAGGAAUAUGCCUGGGAGUGGGGGAUAACGUACGGAAACGGGAGCUCAUACUGCAUACUAUCAGAUUAGGAUAGGUCGGGUUAGGUAGUUGGUGGGGUAAAGGCAUACCAAGGCGACGAUCCGUAACUGGUAUGAGAGGAUGAACAGUCACGCUGGAACUGAGACGCGGUCCAGACUCCUACGGGAGGCAGCAGUGGGGAAUAUUGGACAAUGGGCGAAAGCCUGAUCCAGCCAUGCCGCGUGUGUGAAGAAGGUCUUCGGAUUGUAAAGCACUUUCAGUUGGGAGGCGUUACCAACAGAAUAAGCACCGGCUAACUUCGUGCCAGCAGCCGCGGUAAUAC
rnacentral:rRNA from 1 species